CUCUCGGCUGCACAGCGGAUGAAACAAACCAGCUUCAGGUCCCUUUUCAAUGUAUUGGCAUAAUGAGGUUGAUCCCAAUCUAUUAGUGAUUUCCUCCCAACUUGAAAUGGUCAUCACAAUGCAAAAUGGAUCCUUUGGCUUAGCACUGGAACGUUACCUGACGAAUUUCACUGAAGCCUAUUAUAUGACGGCAUUAAUGCCCUGUACUAUCUGACAUACAAAUGUUAGCACGCACUAGAGUAAAACUCGAAACUUCUGUAUUCUUAGAA